rnacentral:lncRNA from 13 species
AUGACCGAAUACAAACAGUGUAACUAUUCCCUCCGCAAGGCAAUCAAACAAGCUAAGCGUCAGUAUAGAGACAAAGUAGAAUCGCAAUUCAACGGCUCAGACACAAGAGGUAUGUGGCAGGGUCUACAGUCAAUCACGGAUUACAAAAAGAAAACCAGCCCAGUCACGGACCAGGACGCCUUGCUCCCAGGCAGACUAAAUAACUUUUUUGCCCGCUUUGAGGACAAUACAGUGCCACUGACACGGCCUGCAACGAAAACAUGCGUACUCUCCUUCACUGCAGCCGAGGUGAGUAAAACAUUUAAACUUGUUAACCCUCGCAAGGCUGCAGGCCCAGACGGCAUCCCCAGCCGCGUCCUCAGAGCAUGCGCAGACCAGCUGGCUGGUGUGUUUACGGACAUAUUCAAUCAAUCCUUAUCCCAGUCUGUUGUUCCCACAUGUUUCAAGAGGGCCACCAUUGUUCCUGUUCCCAAGAAAGCUAAGGUAACUGAGCUAAACGACUACCGCCCCAUAGCACUCACUUCCGUCAUCAUGAAGUGCUUUGAGAGACUAGUCAAGGACCAUAUCACCUCCACCCUACCUGACACCCUAGACCCACUCCAAUUUGCUUACCGCCCAAAUAGGUCCACAGACGAUGCAAUCUCAACCACACUGCACACUGCUCUAACCCAUCUGGACAAGAGGAAUACCUAUGUGAGAAUGCUGUUCAUCGACUACAGCUCAGCAUUUAACACCAUAGUACCCUCCAUACUGGACUUCCUGACGGGUCGCCCACAGGUGGUGAGGGUAGGUAACAACAUCUCCACCCCGCUGAUCCUCAACACUGGGGCCCCACAAGGGUGCGUUCUGAGCCCUCUCCUGUACUCCCUGUUCACCCACGACUGCGUGGCCACGCACGCCUCCAACUCAAUCAUCAAGUUUGCGGACGACACAACAGUGGUAGGCUUGAUUACCAACAACGACGAGACGGCCUACAGGGAGGAGGUGAGGGCCCUCGGAGUGUGGUGUCAGGAAAAUAACCUCACAAUCAAAGUCAACAAAACUAAGGAGAUGAUUGUGGACUUCAGGAAACAGCAGAGGGAGCACCCCCCUAUCCACAUCGAUGGGACAGUAGUGGAGAGGGUAGUAAGUUUUAAGUUCCUCGGUGUACACAUCACAGACAAACUGAAUUGGUCCACCCACACAGACAGCAUCGUGAAGAAGGCGCAGAAGCGCCUCUUCAACCUCAGGAGGCUGAAGAAAUUCGGCUUGUCACCAAAAGCACUCACAAACUUCACCGCCUGGUACGGCAACUGCUCCGCCCACAACCGUAAGGCUCUCCAGAGGGUAGUGAGGUCUGCACAACGCAUCACCGGGGGCAAACUACCUGCCCUCCAGGACACCUACACCACCGGAUGUCACAGGAAGGCCAUAAAGAUCAUCAAGGACAACAACCACCCGAGCCACUGCCUGUUCAACCCCGCUAUCAUCCAGAAGGUGAGGUCAGUACAGGUGCAUCAAAGCAGGGACCGAGAGACUAAAAAACAGCUUCUAUCUGAAGGCCAUCAGACUGUUAAACAGCCACCACUAACAUUGAGUGGCUGCUGCCAACACACUGACUCACACUAA